GAAGACCUUGCUAAGGUUUUUGAGAAGUGCGCAUGUUCGUGAACAGACCGGAUAACAAAUGUCAAAGGAUGGAGCCCAACAACAAGUCAACACAGCGGAAAGAAUUUCUACAUUUCUAGCGUCUUUGGCUCUGGCUCUUUCGUCUGGUGUGUAUGUAGUUUUACUGCCAUCACAGUUUGCUGUUCUGGACAGUGUCAUGAAGAGAGCACUUCUGAUCCAGAACAUUAACACCGCUGGAGCUUCAGUACCAGUAACAUCUCAUAUUACUAACUGUGACGAGGAGAAGGGCGCUUUGCCGUGCAAGGCCGGCGCUCAAUCAGAUGAUCAGCGGGAGAGCGAGAUAAAGGGGAGCCGGAGGCGCCAGUUUGAGAGAGAGAGAGAGAGAGAGAGAGAGACGCACGCAGCCGCGUUGCAUGUGUGUCUGUGUUCGUUUAUAUUUUAUGAUGUUUUAAGUUUAUUUAUACCAUUAAACUUAAUGUUGACUGUUCAGCCAGUUCCUGCCUCCUCCUUGCCCGUCCUUUAACUGUUACACUAACAUUAUCUGCUACAUAUCAAAUCAUAUUAUCACAAUGAAAAAUAAAUGGCUUAUAAAGUCAGAAAAUACGAUGAAAAAAUAAAGAGCACUUUUUCAAGGAUGACUAAGCCUGCACAGAAUUUCGUUGAAAGCUCAGCAGAAUUGGAAAGUUCUAUUUGGAACAUCCCCCUUCACAGAUUCACUUAUUAAAGGUAUAGUUCACCCAAAAUGUCAUCAUUUACAAACCCUCAUGCCUGUCCAAUUUUGUAAGACUGUCUUCUACAAGGAGAUAUUUGGCAGAAUGUUCACACUACUCUUUUCCAUACAAUAAGCACAUCUACAUGCACAUUCUUACACCAAUUAUGCUUAAAAAUCUGACAAUGUGUGUGGUCAUGUAAACGCCUUAAGCGGAUUUCCUUUAUCAGGGUAAUGUCAUAAAACGGUUUAAGCAUAAACCGAUUGCCACACGUAAAUUGUUGCCCAUUACUCCCCUUUUACUGGCUUUUCAAAUGUGCGCAAAUGUUGUGCUGUUUACACUUUGACAUCAAAGGCAGCGAUUACUCAUAUUUCAUGUAAACAUGGUUAUCUUGUGUUGUCUGACUUUUUGAGUAAGCUGAUUUUUGGUAGUUAUCGGUGUAUAGUGUGCACGUAAACUCAUUCAAUGAAAGCACACAGUGACUAGAGUCUUUCAAUAAAAGUAGUCCAUAUGAUUCAUGCAGUUUAUUUUAAUUCUUCUGAAGACAAACAAUAGCUUUGUGUGAGGAACAUACCAUUAUUUAUGUCAUUAUUAACUGAAAACCUUCCCCUCUGACCGAGCUCUCACAUUUCAUUUUGUGGUCACGCAAUUUCAAAAAUUCCACAUAGAGAUUACAAAACAUGAAAGAACCAAUGCAUUCUCGCAUUUUUUUAUGUUAAACCUGAUACAACGCAUCUUUAUGGUGCCAAAUUUAAAUACGUGCAUGCGUAAAUUAGCUUUUCAGUGAAUAGCGACUUCAAUUUCAGUCUGUUCAUCACAUAAAGGAAUUAUGUGGCUUCAGAAGACUUUGAAUAUAGUGCACUAGUUGUAUGGACUACUUUUAUACAAAAUUGACUAAUCGAGUACUUGUUCAGUACAAACUAAUCAAAUAUUAAAAAAGAUCUAUUAAAAAUACACAUUUUGAUUUUACUUUGCACACUUGCUGUUAUGCAGAAUUAUACUUUCCCUCUGAAUCUCUCACCAAAUCUCGCAGUUACAAUUGAGUCAUUAAUGCAUUGAGAAUUGUAAUGAAAUGUAAUGGUAACUGAACCAUAAAGAGAAACGCAAAGUUUAAAUGAGCUUACUUUGUAACCGUUCUUGGUAACGUUUGUGAAUAAAAUAAGAUAUACAUUUGAUGUAUGUCAUCCCUGAUAUUUUUAACCUACAUUUUAAUUUACGAUUAUUAAAAUUUUUUGUGGGUUAGAGCACUCGACUACAUAAUUACUCGAUAAUGCCCAUCCCUAUUUGAUGAAUUAUAAUUAUUUUAAUUAGAUAAUCAAGUGUUCUAAAUUGAAGUGAGGACAUGCAAAGACACGUGCACCGUCACCACAUCUCAUCUCCAAUUUCAUGUCGCAUCCUCUGGUAAGAUAUAUAAAACCAUUCAUCUGGUGAAUAUAUAGUUUAUAUUUAAA